rnacentral:rRNA from 1 species
GACGAACGCUGGCGGCGUGCUUAACACAUGCAAGUCGAACGCUGAAGCUCAGCUUUUGUUGGGUGGAUGAGUGGCGAACGGGUGAGUAACACGUGAGUAACCUGCCCCCUUCUUUGGGAUAACGUCCGGAAACGGGUGCUAAUACUGGAUAUUCACUGGUCUUCGCAUGGGGGUUGGUGGAAAGGGUUUUUCUGGUGGGGGAUGGGCUCGCGGCCUAUCAGCUUGUUGGUGGGGUGAUGGCCUACCAAGGCUUUGACGGGUAGCCGGCCUGAGAGGGUGACCGGUCACAUUGGGACUGAGAUACGGCCCAGACUCCUACGGGAGGCAGCAGUGGGGAAUAUUGCACAAUGGGCGCAAGCCUGAUGCAGCGACGCCGCGUGAGGGAUGGAGGCCUUCGGGUUGUGAACCUCUUUCGCUCAUGGUCAAGCCGCAACAAUGGUUGUGGUGAGGGUAGUGGGUAAAGAAGCGCCGGCUAACUACGUG